rnacentral:lncRNA from 1 species
ACAGCCCUGAAACCCCAAUUUUCACAUGCCUUGAAGCUGUAGCUCAAUUGGGUUGUCCCAAAAAUAAGAUGCAUAUCAACAUUACACCUAUAUAAGAAAGCUAAUUAAGAUAGCCAUGGUUCUCCCGAAUUUAAACACAGAUAUUUGCCUCAGUAUUAGGGGUGUAAGCGGCGCAGACUGUCCCGCGUAGCCGCAAAGCCGCCCCGCUAAAUACAAUAAAAGUGGGCGCCGGCAACUAACCGCAUAACUUACCUGUGAUUUUUGCGGUUGUCCCACAAAACCCGCAUGUGCCCGCCCGCAUCAUGUGGACAUGCAUGUGUCCUUUCCAUAUUACUCCAGUGAUCGUAGCUUUACUCCUGAACGUUGUUCUUGCUGGAACAGCUCUAUAAAAUCCUGCUUGCGAGUUGCGUCUGGCUUGCGGCGUCGCGGCUACCCGCGUAUCCCGCGUACAGGAAAC